GAGUCAUCUGAUGAAAGUUGCACAAGCUCUUCAAUCAGAAACUUUUUUUUUUUAAAGAAAAUAUCUUUGGAUAACUUAAAAGAUGAUAGAUGUUGACAUGAAAACUCUAGAUUCUGAGACAGAGUCUCUGAAGACAACAGCGAGUGCCAAAGAAGGAAAGUACCUCUGCACCAAGGAAGCAGAGCAAACCCCAAUAAGGAACCAGACAUUAAAAUAUAAAGAAAAGAACAAUGAGAAUAUCAACCAUUUGUGUGUUUAAGAUGUCAAGGAAUCAAAAUCUAUCCUAGGGCAAAUGUUAGAGAGUGGAAACAAAUGUUCCUAAAACUCAAAGAAGUACCCUGUACUCCAGCUGACCAAGAGUACAGACAUUAAAACAGAAAAAUGGCAGCAACAGAAAAUAAAACAAUUAUGAGUUUGAGAUGCUAAAAAAUCAAAAUCUAUCUCGGGAGAAACGCUGGAGACUAAAAAAGCAAAAAAUCUUCCUGAAGUCCU